rnacentral:rRNA from 1 species
CCUACGGGAGGCAGCAGUGAGGAAUAUUGGUCAAUGGGCGAGAGCCUGAACCAGCCAAGUCGCGUGAGGGAGUACUGCCCUAUGGGUUGUAAACCUCUUUUGUCGGGGAGCAAAAGCCGGACGUGUCCGGCUGUGAGAGUACCCGAAGAAAAAGCAUCGGCUAACUCCGUGCCAGCAGCCGCGGUAAUACGGAGGAUGCGAGCGUUAUCCGGAUUUAUUGGGUUUAAAGGGUGCGCAGGCGGAUUUUUAAGUCAAGGGUGAAAUCCCCGCGCUCAACGUGGGAACUGCCUUUGAAACUGGCAAACUGGAGUGUGUGAGAGGAUAGUGGAAUUCCAGGUGUAGGAGUGAAAUCCGUAGAUAUCUGGAGGAACAUCAGUGGCGAAGGCGACUAUCUGGCACAUAACUGACGCUGAGGAGCGAAAGCGUGGGUAGCAAACAGGAUUAGAUACCCCAGUAGUC